AAAUUACUCCCUCUGUCCCAAAAUUCUUGUCUUAGAUUUGUCUAGAUACGGAUGUAUCAAGUCACAUUUUAGUAUUAGAUACAUCCGUAUCUAGACAAAUCUAAGACAAGAAAUUUGGGACAGAGGGAGUAGUUG
rnacentral:pre_miRNA from 1 species